rnacentral:sRNA from 1 species
AGCAGCCGCGGUAAUUCCAGCUCCAAUAGCGUAUAUUAAAGUUGUUGCAGUUAAAAAGCUCGUAGUUGAAUUUCGGGAUUGACACAUCGGUCGUGCCUUAAGGGGUAUGAACUGGUGUAGUCAAUUUCUCACCUUCUGGAGAACCGCGAUGCCCUUAAUUGGGUGUCACGGGGAACCAGGACCUUUACUUUGAAAAAUUAGAGUGUUUAAAGCAGGCAUUUUGCUUGAAUACAUUAGCAUGGAAUAAUAAAAUAGGACGGCAUGAUUCUAUUUUGUUGGUUUCUAGGAUCACCGUAAUGAUUAAUAGGGAUAGUUGGGGGCAUUAGUAUUCAAUUGUCAGAGGUGAAAUUCUUGGAUUUAUUGAAGACUAACUACUGCGAAAGCAUUUGCCAAGGAUGUUUUCAUUAAUCAAGAACGAAAGUUAGGGGAUCGAAGACGAUCAGAUACCGUCGUAGUCUUAACCAUAAACUAUGCCGACUAGGUAUCAGACGAUGUUAAUUUUUUAAUGACUCGUUUGGCA